AACAAACGCUGGCGGCGUGCCUAACACAUGCAAGUCGUACGAGAAAUCCUGGGCAACUGGGAGAGUAAAGUGGCGCACGGGUGAGUAACGCGUGGGUAACCUGCCCUUGAAUUGGGGAUAACUCCGCGAAAGCGGGGUUAAUACCGAAUGAUAUUCCGAUUUCUCCGGGGAUUGGAAUCAAAGGUGGCCUCUGCAUGCAAGCUACUGUUCAAGGAUGGGCCCGCGUACCAUUAGCUAGUUGGUAGGGUAACGGCCUACCAAGGCGUCGAUGGUUAGCUGGUCUGAGAGGAUGGCCAGCCACACUGGAACUGAGACACGGUCCAGACUCCUACGGGAGGCAGCAGUGGGGAAUCUUGCGCAAUGGGGGAAACCCUGACGCAGCAACGCCGCGUGGGUGAUGAAGGCCUUCGGGUCGUAAAGCCCUGUCAGGUGGGAAGAACCGUAUCGGUACAAACAGUGCCGAUGCUUGACGGUACCACCGGAGGAAGCACCGGCUAACUCCGUGCCAGCCGCCGCCGUAA
rnacentral:rRNA from 1 species